UAAAGCCACCCUACAGGGGGGAUGAGAACCCCCGACCGGGGUUCGACAACUGGCGCAGCCAGUUGGACAGACGGGGAGCUUGCGAGGAGACUGCCCGAAGGGCGAGCAAAGCGAGUCAAUCCCCCCCUCACCGCCA
rnacentral:sRNA from 1 species